GGGUCGUUACGGCUCCAGUUGGUAAGAGCAGUUGACUUUUUAAUCAAUUGAUUAGCAGGUUCGGAAUCCUGCACGACCCG
rnacentral:tRNA from 1 species